CUUUUCGGCUGGAAUGGGGAAUUUGUGAGGUAGGCCGGAAGUGGUGUUGCGGAGGGAAGUGUGGGGAGAGCAGAGGCGCAGCUCUGCUGGAGAGACCUGAGGCUUGCAGCGCUGGGCCCGGCCGGGUCGCUGCGGCUGGGCUGGAGGUGAGGCGAAAGAAGGGCAUCCUCUGAUGGGAGUGGACCGGAGUCCGCUAAAGCGAAGCAUUCCAGGGUCAAGGAUGCAUUCCAGGAAAGUUCUAUAAAAAUAUACCAUCAACUCCAACCUGAUAUUUGACCUAGCCAUGGAAAACCUCAUUGGCUCCUCACUGGAUCAGACCAUAAAAAUGAUCCAGGAAUGAAAAUCUAAGAUAAAUUCCCACCACUUCAAGAUGUUCUUAUACAAGUCAACAGUCUAGCAGAUCAGCCAGUCUCUUUCAUCAUCAAGCAGACAUACUCAAGUGCCAAUUAUAACAUUUUAAUCAAACUGGAACAAAUUGCUAUUAAAAUGGAUCAUUUCUUUAUUAAAAGAAAGAGGAAUAGUGAAGUGAAAUAUACAGAAGCAUGUUCAAGUUCAUCUGUUGAAUCUGGAAUUGUGAAUAGUGACAAUAUUGAGAAAAAUACUGACUCCAAUCUGCAAACUUCAACUUCAUUUGAGCCACAUUUCAAAAAGAAA
rnacentral:lncRNA from 1 species